rnacentral:rRNA from 1 species
CGAUCCUCCCACCCUUUGUGUACCUACCUCUGUUGCUUUGGCGGGCCGCGGUCCUCCGCGGCCGCCCCCCUCCCCGGGGGGUGGCCAGCGCCCGCCAGAGGACCAUCAAACUCCAGUCAGUAAACGAUGCAGUCUGAAAAACAUUUAAUAAACUAAAACUUUCAACAACGGAUCUCUUGGUUCUGGCAUCGAUGAAGAACGCAGCGAAAUGCGAUAAGUAAUGUGAAUUGCAGAAUUCAGUGAAUCAUCGAAUCUUUGAACGCACAUUGCGCCCUUUGGUAUUCCGAAGGGCAUGCCUGUUCGAGCGUCAUUACAACCCUCAAGCUCUGCUUGGUAUUGGGCACCGUCCUUUGCGGGCGCGCCUCAAAGACCUCGGCGGUGGCGUCUUGCCUCAAGCGUAGUAGAACAUACAUCUCGCUUCGGAGCGCAGGGCGUCGCCCGCCGGACGAACCUUCUGAACUUUUCUCAAGGUUGACCUCGGAUCAGGUAGGGAUACCCGCUGAACUUAAGCAUAUCAAUAAGCGGAGGA